AUUGCAUCCUCCAUAAGAGGUAGUUUGUUGGCGAUAGUUUGAUAUGGAGGAAACUCUGGAUGGAUCCAAAAGAUGGGGAUCCAACCAACAUUGGUUGAGGGAGCAUUGCUAGAUUGGAUCCAUUUGGAUCAGCAAUUGCUGGAAUUAUCAAUGAAGGAUGAUCGAUCGGUAUUGUGGAAUGCAGCGGAUUUGCGUUUGAUGGAGCCACAGGAUCGACAUCGGCGGAUGAUACCAUGUUGGAUUGAUUGUCUAUGGAGAAUGAGG
rnacentral:lncRNA from 1 species